UACGAGGGGGGCUAGCGUUGCUCGGAAUGACUGGGCGUAAAGGGCGCGUAGGCGGAUGGCACAGUCAGAUGUGAAAUUCCCGGGCUUAACCUGGGGGCUGCAUUUGAUACGUGUUGUCUAGAGUGAGGAAGAGGGUUGUGGAAUUCCCAGUGUAGAGGUGAAAUUCGUAGAUAUUGGGAAGAACACCGGUGGCGAAGGCGGCAACCUGGUCCUUGACUGACGCUGAGGCGCGAAAGCGUGGGGAGCAAACAGG
rnacentral:rRNA from 1 species